rnacentral:snoRNA from 10 species
UUUCUCAUUUGACUACCACAUUUUCUCCUAAUAAUAGAUUUUAGUGGCUAUGCUUAUGGGAUAGAUUAAACUUGCCAUGAUCUGAAGAGGGAGGGUUUUUUCAUGUCCUCCUCCUAUAUGAAAUGGCUGAACGGAUAUUA